rnacentral:rRNA from 1 species
AACGAACGCUGGUGGCGUGCUUAACACAUGCAAGUCGAACGAGAAAGUUUCCUUCGGGAAAUUAGUAAAGUGGCGCAAGGGUGAGUAUCACGUGAAUAAUCUGCCCUCGAGAUCGGGAUAACAUGGUGAAAACUAUGCUAAUACCGGAUAAGACCACAUUUCAUAAGAAAUGCGGUAAAAGGAGUCUCAAUCUUCACUCGAGGAUGAGUUCGCGCAACAUUAGCUUGUUGGUGAGAUAAAAGCUCACCAAGGCUACGAUGUUUAGCCGGCCUGAGAGGGUGAUCGGCACAUUGGGACUGAGACACGGCCCAAACUCCUACGGGAGGCAGCAGUGGGGAAUCUUGCACAAUGGGGGAAACCCUGAUGCAGCGAUGCCGCGUGAGUGAAG